CGGACGGGUGAGUAACGCGUGAGGAACCUGCCUUUCAGUGGGGGGACAACAGUUGGAAACGACUGCUAAUACCGCAUAACGUACGGGUAUCGCAUGGUAUCUGUACCAAAGAUUUAUCGCUGAGAGAUGGCCUCGCGUCUGAUUAGCUAGUUGGUAGGGUAACGGCCUACCAAGGCCACGAUCAGUAGCCGGACUGAGAGGUUGGCCGGCCACAUUGGGACUGAGAUACGGCCCAGACUCCUACGGGAGGCAGCAG
rnacentral:rRNA from 1 species